GUCCCAGUUCGGAUUGUAGUCUGCAACCCGACUACAUGAAGCUGGAAUCGCUAGUAAUCGCGGAUCAGAAUGCCGCGGUGAAUACGUUCCCGGGUCUUGUACACACCGCCCGUCACACCAUGGGAGCCGGGAAUGCCCGAAGUCGGUGACCCAACCGUAAGGAGGGAGCCGCCGAAGGCAGGCCUGGUAACUGGGGUGAAGUCGUAACAAGGUAGC
rnacentral:rRNA from 1 species